CUCAGAUUGAACGCUGGCGGCAGGCCUAACACAUGCAAGUCGAACGGUAACAGGAAGCAGCUUGCUGCUUUGCUGACGAGUGGCGGACGGGUGAGUAAUGUCUGGGAAACUGCCUGAUGGAGGGGGAUAACUACUGGAAACGGUGGCUAAUACCGCAUAACGUCGCAAGACCAAAGAGGGGGACCUUCGGGCCUCUUGCCAUCAGAUGUGCCCAGAUGGGAUUAGCUUGUUGGUGAGGUAACGGCUCACCAAGGCGACGAUCCCUAGCUGGUCUGAGAGGAUGACCAGCCACACUGGAACUGAGACACGGUCCAGACUCCUACGGGAGGCAGCAGUGGGGAAUAUUGCACAAUGGGCGCAAGCCUGAUGCAGCCAUGCCGCGUGUAUGAAGAAGGCCUUCGGGUUGUAAAGUACUUUCAGCGGGGAGGAAGGUGUUGUGGUUAAUAACCGCAGCAAUUGACGUUACCCGCAGAAGAAGCACCGGCUAACUCCGUGCCAGCAGCCGCGGUAAUACGGAGGGUGCAAGCGUUAAUCGGAAUUACUGGGCGUAAAGCGCACGCAGGCGGUCUGUCAAGUCGGAUGUGAAAUCCCCGGGCUCAACCUGGGAACUGCAUUCGAAACUGGCAGGCUUGAGUCUUGUAGAGGGGGGUAGAAUUCCAGGUGUAGCGGUGAAAUGCGUAGAGAUCUGGAGGAAUACCGGUGGCGAAGGCGGCCCCCUGGACAAAGACUGACGCUCAGGUGCGAAAGCGUGGGGAGCAAACAGGAUUAGAUACCCUGGUAGUCCACGCCGUAAACGAUGUCUACUUGGAGGUUGUGCCCUUGAGGCGUGGCUUCCGGAGCUAACGCGUUAAGUAGACCGCCUGGGGAGUACGGCCGCAAGGUUAAAACUCAAAUGAAUUGACGGGGGCCCGCACAAGCGGUGGAGCAUGUGGUUUAAUUCGAUGCAACGCGAAGAACCUUACCUGGUCUUGACAUCCACAGAACUUUCCAGAGAUGGAUUGGUGCCUUCGGGAACUGUGAGACAGGUGCUGCAUGGCUGUCGUCAGCUCGUGUUGUGAAAUGUUGGGUUAAGUCCCGCAACGAGCGCAACCCUUAUCCUUUGUUGCCAGCGGUCCGGCCGGGAACUCAAAGGAGACUGCCAGUGAUAAACUGGAGGAAGGUGGGGAUGACGUCAAGUCAUCAUGGCCCUUACGACCAGGGCUACACACGUGCUACAAUGGCGCAUACAAAGAGAAGCGACCUCGCGAGAGCAAGCGGACCUCAUAAAGUGCGUCGUAGUCCGGAUUGGAGUCUGCAACUCGACUCCAUGAAGUCGGAAUCGCUAGUAAUCGUGGAUCAGAAUGCCACGGUGAAUACGUUCCCGGGCCUUGUACACACCGCCCGUCACACCAUGGGAGUGGGUUGCAAAAGAAGUAGGUAGCUUAACCUUCGGGAGGGCGCUUACCACUUUGUGAUUCAUGACUGGGGUGAAUCUA
rnacentral:rRNA from 1 species